GUUAUUGCCUUGAUAUUAAAUGAGAUGUAAUUUUAUAUGUAAGUAAUACAUCAAUUUUACUUGUAUUAUGAUAUUUUAUAAUAAUAUUGGAAAUAUGUUUGUUGAUAAUUACUUGAUUGGUGAAAUUGUUGGAAAAGAGAGAGAAAUCCCGGUUGAACCUUCGGAAAGAUUGAAUGAUACAAAUGGUACGUAGCUAGGUCACAUGUAUGGUGCUGAGUGCACAUCAUGUGUACAAGAAAGUUACGAGACAUUAUAAUGUAGCUAGGUCGCAUGGGUGAUACUAUGUGUACACCAUGUAGACAAGAGAGCUACGGGAUAUAUGUAGCUAGGUCGCAUGCGUGGUUCCAGGUGAAGGACACCAUGUAGACAAGAGAGCUACGAGAUAAACUGGCUAGGUCACAUGGGUGGUACUAAGUGUUCACCAUGUGUACAAGAGAGUCGAACUAUAUGAUGGGUGGAGCUAUGUGCUGAAACCACCAAGUAUCGAGUAUUGAUCCGAAGUGUUCAACAGGAAACUUACUAUGUACUGCUUUGUGAGUUUGUCAGGAAUAAGUGCAGGAACUUGGUUAUGUGAAUGAUGUGUUCAUUAAGUGAUUGGGAUGUGGCAAGGUUAUAAACAAUGUUGUCAGGUUGGCUCGGGGUUGGAGAUCGUCGGAAGUAUCAUCACACUAUUAGUUUAUCAAAUUAGAAUAAUGGUAAUUCUUAUUUAUUGUCAAAUAAGUGGCAUGUAUAGAUAAUAAGUUAUUGAUAUUAGGUAAUAUUAUGAUUUAGCCAAAUGUAUAGGCUCAUUUUGCUUCAUUGUAUAUAGCCAUAAGAUUUGGCUCAUAAUGGUUAAAGUUAUGUAAACCUAUUUUAUGUAUGCAUAGAUAAAUAUCUUGGUGUGGCUAA